GGUCCUACGGGGGGCAGCAGUGGGGAAUAUUGGGCAAUGGGCGCAAGCCUGACCCAGCAACGCCGCGUGAAGGAAGAAGGCUUUCGGGUUGUAAACUUCUUUUAUGAGGGACGAAACAAAUGACGGUACCUCAUGAAUAAGCCACGGCUAACUACGUGCCAGCAGCCGCGGUAAUACGUAGGUGGCAAGCGUUAUCCGGAUUUACUGGGUGUAAAGGGCGUGUAGGCGGGACUG
rnacentral:rRNA from 1 species